rnacentral:rRNA from 1 species
GAUGAACGCUAGCGGGAGGCUUAACACAUGCGAGUCGAGGGGUAACAUGAGAGCUUGCUCUUGAUGACGACCGGCGCACGGGUGCGUAACGCGUAUACAACUUGCCCUUAACAGGAAGAUUGCUCAGGGAAACCUGGAUUAAUACUCCAUAGUCUUAUAAAGUCGCAUGGCUUAAUAAGUAAAACUCCGGUGGUUAAGGAUGGGUAUGCGUGACAUUAGCUAGUUGGUGAGGUAACUGCUCACCAAGGCAACGAUGUCUAGGGGUUCUGAGAGGAUGAUCCCCCACACUGGUACUGAGACACGGACUAG